rnacentral:rRNA from 1 species
AACGAACGCUGGCGGCGUGGAUAAGACAUGCAAGUCGAACGGGACAACAUCUGUAGCAAUACAGGUGUUGUUUAGUGGCGAACGGGUGCGUAACACGUGGGCAAUCUGCCGAGAAGUGGGGGAUAGCUCGCCGAAAGGCGAAUUAAUACCGCAUAUGAUCAGUGAAGACAUCUUCACGACAUCAAAGCCGGGGCAACCUGGCGCUUCUUGAUGAGCCCGCGGCCUAUCAGCUAGUUGGUGAGGUAACGGCUCACCAAGGCUAUGACGGGUANCUGGUCUGAGAGGACGACCAGUCACACUGGAACUGAGACACGGUCCAGACACCUACGGGUGGCAGCAGUCGAGUAAUUUUUCUCAAUGGGGCAACCCUGAAGGAGCGACGCCGCGUGGAGGAUG